UACGAAGGGUGCAAGCGUUACUCGGAAUUACUGGGCGUAAAGCGUGCGUAGGCGGUUUGUUAAGUCUGUCGUGAAAGCCCCGGGCUCAACCUGGGAAUGGCGAUGGAUACUGGCGAGCUAGAGUACGGUAGAGGAGAGUGGAAUUCCCGGUGUAGAGGUGAAAUUCGUAGAUAUUGGGAAGAACACCGAUGGCGAAGGCAGCCAUCUGGACCGACACUGACGCUGAGGCGCGAAAGCGUGGGGAGCAAACAGG
rnacentral:rRNA from 1 species